AGCAGUAGCCACGGGAAUACGAAGGGGGCUAGCGUUGCUCGGAAUGACUGGGCGUAAAGGGCGCGUAGGCGGAUUGUUUAGUUAGGCGUGAAAUUCCUGGGCUUAACCUGGGGACUGCGCUUAAUACAGGCAGUCUAGAGUGAGGAAGAGGGUUGUGGAAUUCCCAGUGUAGAGGUGAAAUUCGUAGAUAUUGGGAAGAACACCGGUGGCGAAGGCGGCAACCUGGUCCUUGACUGACGCUGAGGCGCGAAAGCGUGGGGAGCAAACAGGAUUAGAUACCCCCGUAGUCCCUGUCUCUUAUAC
rnacentral:rRNA from 1 species